UACAGAGGGUGCAAGCGUUUGUUCGGAAUUAUUGGGCGUAAAGGGCGCGUAGGCGGUGCGGUAAGUCUGUAGUGAAAUCUCUGGGCUCAACUCAGAGUCUGCUGCAGAAACUGCCGUGCUUGAGUGUGGGAGAGGUGAGUGGAAUUCCCGGUGUAGAGGUGAAAUUCGUAGAUAUCGGGAGGAACACCGGUGGCGAAGGCGGCGAUCUGGGUAGAUACUGACGCUGAGGUGCGAAAGCGUGGGGAGCAAACAGG
rnacentral:rRNA from 1 species